GCACUACUGAGGAGUCCCACAAUGGGACGAAACGGAAUUCCAGUAC
rnacentral:hammerhead_ribozyme from 1 species